rnacentral:lncRNA from 1 species
CAUGGCCACCUUUGUCCUCAUAUUUCAUCCUACCCAUUGUCCACAAACCAAUGCUCGUAUCACUACAUAAUCUCUAUUUUUCAUUCUCAUACAUAUUGCCAAUAUUACACCCAUCAUCUCUCAAUAAUUCCCACACCGUUACCACCCCAACAUAUCCCACUCCAUGUACCAUUUAUCACACCCCAUGUACAUCGAACCCAUUUCCUUUACACCACGUAACCACCAUGACUACAGCCACCACCAUCUCUCAAGCACAUCUCAAGCUCGUGUUUAGUUCUACACACUUCAU